AAAUAUAACAAUGUGGGAAACCAAAUUUUAUAAUUUUUGGAAUUUUAUUUUAUUUAAUACGAUUUUUUAAAUGAAAAAACUUCAAAAAAUCGUAAUAAAAAAAAUACAAGUCCAAACUUUGUCAAACUUGGUAUGAGGGUACCUUAUGAUAUCCCUGAGAUAUAAUGGCAAGCACUUUUGAAUUUGCUCGAGUAGAUUUUAAAAUUUAUCGAGGGUCCAUAUUUUGGAGUGCCAAAAUCGCACACUGGUGCGCAUUUUUGCGCAUCGGGGGCGCCCCUGCUGCGCAUUUUCGCGCAUUUUUGCGCGCGGGUAUGCCCCCUGUGCGCAUUUUCGCGCAUUUUCUCUCAUUUUUGCGCACGGGUGUGCCCC
rnacentral:lncRNA from 1 species